AACGAACGCUGGCGGCGCGCCUAACACAUGCAAGUCGAACGAGAAUCCGGGGCAACCCGGUAGUAAAGUGGCAAACGGGUGAGGAAUACAUGGGUAACCUACCCUUGAGAAGGGAAUAACCCGCCGAAAGGUGAGCUAAUACCCUAUACGCUAUCUUUUUUUCGAAAAGGAUAGGAAAGCCGGGUCGAGGACCUGGUACUCAAGGAGGGGCUCAUGUCCUAUCAGCUUGUUGGUGGGGUAACGGCCUACCAAGGCUACGACGGGUAGCUGGUCUGAGAGGAUGAUCAGCCACACUGGCACUGAGAUACGGGCCAGACUCCUACGGGAGGCAGCAGUGAGGAAUAUUGCGCAAUGGGCGAAAAGCCUGACGCAGCGACGCCGCGUGGGGGAUGAAGGUUUUCGGAUUGUAAACCCUUUCAUGAGGAAAGAUAAAGUGGGUAACCACUUAGACGGUACCUCAAGAAGAAGACCACGGCUAACUUCGUG
rnacentral:rRNA from 1 species